rnacentral:lncRNA from 1 species
UUUUUUCAAAAUCCUUUGUAUAUGGUUUUUGGCUUAAUUUUUUUUUUUUGGUUAUUGAUAAUGAUUUGGGGUUGUCUUUAAAGGAGAGGUUACUCGGGUGCACCGCCGGCGGCAGUUACGGCUAGCUUUGGUAGGCCUGGGGCGAUGGGGAAAGUGGAACGAAGAGAUGCGAUGAAAGAGUCGUCGUCGUCGGAGACAAGGGCUUAUUCUUCAGCUUGGGCGCCUGACCCUGUUACGGGGUAUUACCGGCCGGAGAAUUGUGGGGCUGAGAUCGAUGCGGCGGAGCUCCGGGAGAUGUUGUUGAAUCACAGGGUUAGAUCACAGUAGAAACUUGCCACCGCAUGUGAUCACCGUAGCAGAGCAGAGCCAUAAUGUUUUGCAGAUGUUUGGGUGC